GCGUGUUUCCGGGCAAGAGAACGGUACUGAAUUCAGUGUAGGUCUGCAUGAAAUCCUUUACAGAGCCACAGACUCAUUCGGAAGUGACCAUUGUUUGGUAUUGUUUGCAGUAAGAAGUCGCUGUAGUGAUCUCCCUUCUCCAGACAAUGGUUAUUUCGAAUGUACAAACGAUUAUGGAGAAGGUUCAGUGUGCAUUUUGAAAUGUUUGAACGAAUUUAGACCAAAUGUUUUGCAGCCAGUUUCCUGUGAAAAAACGUUGAACUGGUCUCAAUCCGUGAUUAACGAGAAAUGCUAUGAUGUUUGUCGACCCUUCAUUAGAAAAUACCC